rnacentral:rRNA from 1 species
CCUACGGGGGGCAGCAGUGAGGAAUAUUGGUCAAUGGCCGGAAGGCUGAACCAGCCAAGCCGCGUGAGGGACGAAGGUGCCAAGCAUUGUAAACUUCUUUUGUCAAGGAACAAAAUCCGGCUCGAGAGCCUGACCGAGGGUACUUGAAGAAAAAGCAUCGGCUAACUCCGUGCCAGCAGCCGCGGUAAUACGGAGGAUGCGAGCGUUAUCCGGAUUUAUUGGGUUUAAAGGGGGCGUAGAUGGGUUGUUAAGUCAGUUGUGAAAGUUUGCGGCUCAACCGUAAAAUUGCAAUUGAUACUGGCAGUCUUGAGUACAGGUGAGGUAGGCGGAAUGCGUGGUGUAGCGGUGAAAUGCUUAGAUAUCACGAAGAACCCCGAUUGCGAAGGCAGCUUACUAGCCUGUGACUGACACUGAUGCUCGAAAGUGUGGGUAUCAAACAGGAUUAGAUACCCUAGUAGUC